UGUUCCGCUGUCGCCCCAGUGAAAACCAGGCGGGCCUUGAGCGCCCGCCUGGCUCCGGGGCCCAGGAGGGCGCUAAAGAUCACGGAAGGCUCGGGAAGGCUGUCCCGGCUCCCAGUUAUGUGGAAGAAGCAAAUGAGACCUUAUUCUCUUUGUGUGGAGGUUUUUUUAAGCCGUGGCGGCAAGCCGUAGGUGCACAGCAGUUUCUGAGAAGAUACCGGAGAGUCACGACCCACUGAGUCAGAGCCCCACGGACCUGAUGCCUGGUGCUGCCUGCUGUUCCUGGCACUCCCAUCACCCCUGGCUACUGGACUGUGCUCACUCACUGAGCCCCACUGAAGGAUGCAGGUCUUCAUUCUUGGAGCAGUAGCUGGGGAAGGAGGCCAGUGCAGGGGCUUCUGUUCCGCCCAAGAGGGACGCCCCUCUCCCAAACAUUUGGGAAGACCCUGCGAUCAUCCAGCUGACUCCUCUCACGGUUCAGAUGGGAAAACAGUCCGGAUGCACAUUCAAGGUCCACGAGGCACCAGUGCCCCUCGGGAAAGAGCAGGAGGAGAAAGACUCACAUCCCAGGCUUCAUGAGAAGGUGCUGAGCACUGGAAGGCAUGCUGGCACCAGGUAGCGGUUGCUCUGAAAUUCAGAGGAAGAACUACAGAGACUUCAGAAGCAGAAUGAGGCCUGACCUCCCCAGGUGGCAGAGAGCCUUGCUGAGAAGCUGAGGCUGGAGCAGCAGCUGAGGACUCUGGAGCAGGAGCUGGUGGCAAAGGAACAGGAGCUGGUGCAGCUCCGAGCAUCAAGGGCUCCAGCGCCGGGAGGGCAGGCGCCUCCAUCCGCCUCUCAACUCCUGAAGGUAGCAUUUGGGGAUUCUCCAGAGGGACAGGCAGAGUGACCCCUGCCUCCCUGUGGGACCCAGGCCCAGUUUCUCUCUCUGUCUUCGUCUCCCUAUCUGCAAGUUGGAGGGGGAAACAGAGGCUCGAAGGGUCCCUCCAGCUUGGACCUUUGCUGGUUCUCCUGGAUUCCUCAACUGCCCACCCUUCCCUGGCAGAGGUGGAGCUACCGCAUACCUGGUACCUGCCCUGCCUCUGCGCCCUCUGUGGGGGUCAGCCUCUGCCUCUGCCUCAUCUGCUUCCAGAUCUUAGCCACAGCCCUGGAACCAGAGGAGAGGAGCAUCUGAGAAGCAGCCAGGGGCAGUGCCCAGGCUGGGGAAGAAAGGUGGCGUGGAGACUGAGGCCCAGAGCCACGAGGGAACAGAUUCACAGCCUCGCUCUGCAGCAUAAGAGAUUGAGAGCUCUGUCAGCUGGGCCACAUGCCCCCCAGAACCAUCCUCGAUGCUGUCACUGAACGCUCCCCCCAUCUACUCCCUUAAGUGAAGCAGGGUUUUGCAGAGGGGGACUCUGGCAGGGUGAUGGGACAGAACAUCUUUGGGAUUGUUUCUCCAGCAUUGUCCUCCACAAAAUGUUCUCUGCCCUCCCUGCCAUAUACAGGCUACUGUGGGGGCUGCCAAGUUCUCAACUGAUUGGUCCAGCACUGGGUGCUGAACCCAACUGAACCAAUGGUCUCCUUCCUGGGGUCACUGGACUUAGGACAAAAGAGUAAUCUUUCCAGAGCUGAAGACUGGACACAUAAAACUGGGGAGCUGUCAACCGCCCUGUUUUUCUCUGCGGAAAAAGUUGUAUUUCAGUAAGAGCAAAUGGAGCUGAUGAUUCCCAGAAAGUGAAAUUGGGAUUGGAGAGAUUUUGGUUCAGCCCAGGGGGUCUCAUGCAUGCAGAAGACAUAAACUUGACCUUUGGGAUGGUCAUCUCACCUUGCUCUGUAGCUCAGGCGUCAGGCUGAGCUGGUCUUCAGGACAGGAGGGGAAGAAUACCUUCCACAGGCAGCGCUUCUGGGUUCCAGACCCUUCCUGAGGCCAGCCCCAGGUCCCAUUGCCCUUGGGCUCCUCCACACACCCUGGUGUCGGAGAAUAAAUACCCGUCCUGUCUGCUCAUAUGGGCCUGAGCGAUUUGGGUCCCUUACGAGGGAAUGCCUCCAAACCAGAUGGCUGCCCCCCUGUCCCAAAGGCCCUCCCGAUAGGCGGAGCAUUGCCCUCCACCGUCGUAUAUCAGACCCGGCUCAGGUUUGUUCCCCUGGCACAGAAGGCCACCCCACUACCCCUUUGCCUUCUUGUGUGUCCCUGUGUCCCAGCUGCUGACGGGGUUUGUACUCACUGUCUCCAAGAGCAGCGGGGGCUCCCACUCUUCCCAGUCCUGCUGGUCUGGUCGGUUCCUUCUCCCCUUCCUUCCGGUGGUGAUACAAACCUUCUCUUUCAGAAGUCCCAAGCCACCAACUCCCCCUCCUUUCCGGGCAGUAACCGGCACUUCAUUUCACAGGGAGGCGGGCGGAGACGCUGUCUGCCCCAGGCCCUUCCCAGCCGCCCCCCACCCCCGCUCGCCCCAUUGGCUGCGCGGAGGGCACAUGCCCAGCCCUGGCCAAUGAGGUGGGGGAAGCUGCGGCUCGUGGCUAGGAAAGCUGGUCCCGGAGAUGCUCAUGUCCCUCAGGUGACCCCCCUGUUGUGCGAGGCUUGGGGGGUCGGGUGGAGCCAGAGCCGAGACGUGGGAUGAUCAGACCCCCUCCCCGCGUCCUCUGCUUCCCUCUCGUCACCGCGCUGGGUUACCCCUGACCUAACUGAAAAGAGGCAUCUGCGGGAGAAGUUGGACAGCUGCAUUAAGAGUCCGUUCCCAGCCCUGCCAUUCACUACGUAUGUGACCUCGUGCACACUUCUGCUCUUCAGUUUCUUCAUCUGUAAAAUGAACAAAGUCACUGCCUCACAGGUCUAUGGGUGCAGUGUUAAAUGAGACACUGAGCACAGAGUGCUUUGCCUCGCUCGUGGUUAGGGCAGAUUCUGGACCCCGUAGCCACCGACUGCUCUUCUCACAGCUCUGGGACCUCGUGCUAGUUACUCAACCUCUCCGCGCCUCCAAAUUCAUAAAUGUGUAGAGGAGCAAAAGAGUUAAUUCAUGCAAAGAACUUAACCACGCCUGGCAUACACCAGUGUUCAGUAAUUGGUAAUUUCACAGCCUUCUUAUUACCAUCAGUGCCAUCCCAUGUCCUGGGGCACACGUUCAGAGUUCCUCUGGGGUACAAACCUGGGAGCACAAUUGCUGGGCCCCAGGGUAUGGGCACGUUCCACUUUACUAGGUACAGCCAAAGUGUUUUCCAGAGUUAGGCUAAUUUACACCCCCCCACCCACCCCCGGCAAUCUGUGAGAGUUCCCAUUGCUCCCCAUCCUCGCCAAGGCCUGGUAUUUUAAGACUACAGUUUGUGCCAAUCUGAUGGUGUGGAAUGGUUUUUUGUGCAAUUCCCUGAUUACUAAUGAGGACCAUUUUAUUUCCUCUUCUGCCAGACACCUGUUCAUGACUUUGCCCCCUCUCCUCAAUCCUUUUUGCUUUUGUUUUGCUUUUAAAUAAGCAUUUAAAAAAGAAAGAAAGAAAUUCUGACUAGUUGUGUGUUACAAGUAUCUCCUCCCAGUUUGUCUUUUUAUCUAUGGUACCUUUUGAUGAACUUUUUUCGGAGGGUCUAGUUUGAGGAAUUCUUCCUUUUCUUGAGGUCUUAGAUAUUCUCCUAUAUUUUUUUCUGUUAAUUUAGAGUGGGAUGGAAUUGCAGUGGCUCAGUGCCUUGUUCUUCUCAGAUUCUCCAUCUCUAUCAGGAGGCUUAUUCAGCUGCCACUUCUCCCUCAGCAUCCCCUCACAUCCACUCCAUACUUUUUCUAUCUCAUAUGUCUCUGGACCCUGCUUCUCCUCAUCUCUGGGCCGCCUCCUAUACCAGGCCCACUGAAUCUCCAUGUGCCAGCCCCCUGGUGUGUCACAGGAGGUUGUGAUGUGUGAUCCCAACUAUUGCUUAGUAAUUAAAGUACUAAAGGGUUGGUUAUUUCUUUCAAAAGAUUUUAAAGAAUCAGUGAGAGGUUCAAGACUGUCCCAGUGUCACCCUCACUUUCUAGCACUUCAAAAUGGCAGAGAGAACCCCACCUGUGCCUCAGAGGUUGCAGAGAGGCGAGGUAUAUGUUGUUAUGGAUGGAGGAGGGCAAUCACAAACCCACCCAGUGCUUUCGUUCUCUGCCCAUUUCUUUUGGUUUUGCCAAAACCAGGUUGUGCCCAUACAAUGCGCAUCGUGGCAGAGAAAAAGGCUGAGCAGUCUGG